UUGUUAUUUACAACAAUCUAGAAAGCUAGGAUAUAAACGGCCACGCGCCUAACAUUUUUUUCUGAUGGCAGAGAAAAUUCUCUCGCGAAUUUCAUCACGUUGUCACGGAUUGCUAUUGGAUGUAAUUGUACCGGUGUAAAUAGCAAGCAAAGGCAAUCAAUGGACAAUUGAACGAACGGUGGACGCAUUGACAUACGAUGUCACCACCGCAGCUAUCUGUCGACCUACCAAUUCCAUCACGCUUAACCAACGAUUCGUUGCCCCAUACGUUGCUGCGAGUAUUUCAUUCGGUGGUCAGCUUGGCUAGACACCCAUUCCCUCCAUCCCCAUUCCCCCUGAAAAGCCCAGGUAAUUGUAUACACCCUGGUUACCGUGCGAUCGUCCCUAUUAUAACUGCGACGCGUGCUCGUGUUAUCAAUGCCACCGGUUAUCACGGGUUAUCCGACGCACGCACCUGCGCCCUACGAGGAUUCCCUUUGAA